rnacentral:tRNA from 1 species
GGUUGAGCUAGCAUGGUAUAGUGGUUUGGGUGUUGGACUAUGACUCUAGAGACCAGGGUUAGAAUCCCAGCUCAGCCA